GCAGUCGAACGGUGAUAGCAAUAUCAUAGUGGCGCACGGGUGCGUAACACGUAUGCAACCUACCUUAUACUGAGGGAUAGCCUUUCGAAAGGGAGAUUAAUACCUCAUAACACAUUGAACUGGCAUCAGUUUAUUGUUAAAGAUUUAUUGGUAUAAGAUGGGCAUGCGUCCAAUUAGUUAGUUGGCGAGGUAACGGCUCACCAAGACGAUGAUUGGUAGGGGAACUGAGAGGUUAAUCCCCCACACUGGCACUGAGAUACGGGCCAGACUCCUACGGGAGGCAGCAGUAGGGAAUAUUGGGCAAUGGAGGCAACUCUGACCCAGCCAUGCCGCGUGCAGGAAGAAGGCGUUAUGCGUUGUAAACUGCUUUUAUAUAGGAAGAAAUAGACCUUGCGAGGUAAGUUGACGGUACUAUAUGAAUAAGCACCGGCUAACUCCGUGCCAGCAGCCGCGGUAAUACGGAGGGUGCAAGCGUUGUCCGGAUUUAUUGGGUUUAAAGGGUGCGUAGGCGGUUUAUUAAGUCAGUGGUGAAAGACGGUCGCUCAACGAUUGCAGUGCCAUUGAUACUGGUAGACUUGAGUGGGAUUGAGGUAGCUGGAAUGGAUAGUGUAGCGGUGAAAUGCAUAGAUAUUAUCCAGAACACCAAUUGCGUAGGCAAGUUACUAAGUCUCAACUGACGCUGAG
rnacentral:rRNA from 1 species